GUGAAACUAAACUGUCGAUUUUUUCAAACUAACAGAAGCUUGAGUUUCUUAAUCCCCUACCACCCAAAGAGAGGGCAAAGGUAAUUAAUAUUCAAGUAUGAAUGUAUUUAGUGAUUUUGAUGGCUUGAUUCUGACUCUAUCAGUGUGAUUUACCAAUUGGAAAUUUUAUUGUCCUAAUACUUCAAUCUCCGUGGCUGAUCAAUAACUAUUAUUCUGAUGUGUAAAAG
rnacentral:misc_RNA from 1 species